rnacentral:lncRNA from 10 species
CCCUACGGUCCUGGAAUUGGGGGUUACUAUCUUGGAAUCUAGGGGCACUCCAGGCUCUGGGCUCAGACGGCUGGCUUCUGCCUACCCGAGCCUUAACCUUUCAAGGACCAGAAGGAUUCCAGAGCUCUUGCCCUAGGUCCUGGGGCAGCGAUGACUCACUGCAGCACCCCCUCCCACUUCGCCAAGCUGCCGUCUCCGCCCACCCCCAAACAAUCUCGACAGCGCAUUUCGGGAGCCACGGCUCCGGGCGCUUUGCUGGGGGCUAAAGGGGUUUAUCCCUUUCCUUGAAUCCCAGCAGGCUAGAACUACCCCCUCCCAGUCUUCAGGCUUGCCACGCUCUCCACCCGAUCCUUCCAUUGAAAGGCAGAGAAGGAAGGAUGUGCUUGGGAACUUUAAGACCCACGAACGACAGCGCACUGAUGGAGCAGCCCAGUGUCUGGGGCAAAGUCCUCGAGGUUCAUUCAUUCAGGAAGCCUCUGACCAGCCUUUACCAUGCGCUGAGUGAGAAGCUGAGGAUAAGGAAAGAGCAAGACCCCCAAGAAACCCUGAUGUCUGGCUGAAAGCCGAAGCAUGACGCAACUUUGCUAUAUUUCUCUCCAACAAGGAUUUGUAUAUUUUCGCUUUCUCCUCAAGUAACACCUGGACCUGCUCCUUUCCCUUCAAACGCUGAGGGCUCAGUCUCCAAGUUCCUUUAUGAAACAGGGUGUACCAUCAGAGACGCAGGUAUUUAUUGAAACCUGCUUUGUGCUGGGCAAUGUGCCAGAUGUUGGGGAUAAAAUGGAGACUUCAGAAAUGAAGAUGCAAAGACAACAGGGGAAACCAUAUAUGUUUAUGGACAGUCAUGCCAAAGUAUGAUUGGAAGACAAAAAGCUUUUAAUCUUUGAAGCAUAAGAAACUUUAUGAAUGAAGCUUCCUUCACAUGGGACACACACACAGUUUAAAGCAGAUGGAAGAUCACACAGCUG